rnacentral:rRNA from 1 species
UUUUUACGGGAGGCAGCAGUGAGGAAUAUUGGUCAAUGGACGGAAGUCUGAACCAGCCAAGUAGCGUGCAGGAUGACGGCCCUCCGGGUUGUAAACUGCUUUUAGUUGGGAAUAAAAAAGGGACGUGUCCCUUAUUGUAUGUACCUUCAGAAAAAGGACCGGCUAAUUCCGUGCCAGCAGCCGCGGUAAUAAAA